UGUAGAAGAAGGUAGUGUCUUGGAAGGAAAAAUAUAUUUAAAUAUUAAGGAAUCUUUACUCAUCGUUUACCUGUCUCCUCUUUUUCUUUUCAUAGGGAAUGCCCAACCACAGUGUAAUCGGGAAGGCGGAUUCUGCCGUGUCAGCCGAUGUCCUCUUGGAACUUCUAACAUUGGGAACCUGGGCUGUGGGUCGCUAUUGAAGUGUUGUAAAAGGACACGUGGAAAAUAAUGCUGUCUCCCUCUACGACCAUGGAUAUCUUCAACAUAUGGCCAAGCACCUGAGAUUGCUGCCUGCUAUCGCUUUAUCUUUCUUUAUCUAAAUAAAAUUGCUACCCAUCAAA